UAAUACGUAGGGUGCGAGCGUUAAUCGGAAUUACUGGGCGUAAAGGGUGCGCAGGUGGUUACGUAAGUCUGAUGUGAAAGCCCCGGGCUCAACCUGGGAACUGCAUUGGAGACUGCGUGGCUAGAGUGUGGCAGAGGGGGGUGGAAUUCCGCGUGUAGCAGUGAAAUGCGUAGAGAUGCGGAGGAACACCAAUGGCGAAGGCAGCCCCCUGGGUUAACACUGACACUCAUGCACGAAAGCGUGGGGAGCAAACAGG
rnacentral:rRNA from 1 species